CUCUGUUGAAAGAUUUUGCACCCUGUGAUUUUUGGCUUUUUCCCAAAACUAAAAUCACUUCUUGAAAGGGAAAAGAUUUCAGACCAUGGAUGAGAUUCAGGUAAAUACGAUGAGACAGCUGAAGGCGAUUCCAACAAAAGAUUUUGCAGUGUUUUGAACAGUGGAAGAGACCUGUGAGGUGCCUACUUUAAAGGGAACUGAGGUGUCAUUGUCCAAUGUAUCUUGUAUCUUCAAAAAAUUUCUCUAUUUUUCAUAUUACAUGGUUGGAUACUUUCCGGACAGACCUUGUAUACCCAGAAAUAUUCAUGUUGCAUGGAUCCACAGAAUGUAUUUCCUACAUAAAAAGUAGGAAAGGUUUUCAGAGUAAAUCCUCACUAAUACAUACUGAAGUUAAUACCAUAGUCUAUGUAACGAGACCGUUGAGUUCCAGCAUUUUGUCUAAGCUUUGAAAGUUAGAGUUUGAUAUUGUGAGGUUCAGACAAAUGAAUAUAUGGUGCAUGCAGGAAAAAGAAAGCCUACUAAUAAGGAUGACUUUAUUGAAGAUUAAAAUAGGAAAGGUUGAAGGUAUGAGUGAGAAAAUAUUAAAAGAUGAAGUUUGACUAAAGUCGCAUGAAUGUACACUGCAGUUUGGAAAGGUAGUGAUUAGACGCUAAAGAACAUUCUUUAAAAUGUGGAUGAGCGGAGGAGGAAAAGAAUGAAUAUUUGGAGAACACAAUUCUUUGUAGGACUUGCAUGUGACAGGAUGUAUAGAUUAGUAGCCUAGCAGAGAAGCUAAGGACCAACAAGAAGUGAUUUAGUGCCAUUUCUGAAGGAGUCUAAUGGUGGCUCAAAUGAGUGUAUAGUUGUGGUCCUCAGAACAUUUAUUAGUUGCCUGCCAAUUAUCCAGCAUGUAUGUAUUUAACCAUUUAAGAUGGGAAAAAAAGGAGUAAUCCGUAUCAAUGGUGAGGUUUGUGAGAAACAUGUUUCAGUCAUCGUCCAAAAAGCAGCAGAAUGAUCAGAUGUCUCUUGUUUUUAUGAAUGAUCGCCAUCCGACACAAAACCCCCUGUAUCAUAUUGUUUAAAGUGUUUUUCUCCCUACAAGGGCUUUUGAAUAGUGUGGCGUU